rnacentral:lncRNA from 1 species
AGUAAUGAGCACAGCACAGUUGAGUCAAGUUGACUAAGCCUCCAUCUACAAUCUCAACUUGCAAAGGAUGAAUAGCAUCUGACAAAGACAAUUUUAGCUUGGAAAGACUCUAUUCACCAAUGUUUGCUAAACACCCAAAUCCACAACCAAAAGCCACCAGACCAUUCACUGAUCCUUGAAAUGGAGGCAUUGAACUUUCCCAGGUACACUGAACAAGAAAUCAAAGCUCACAUUGCCCCAUCCUCCACUACAUCUGAACUGAUACCCCUAUGCUCUUGGGAUCUUUCCAAGGCCAGCGGUCCUUAUCUCCCGAUGAAGUAGUUCGUCACUGUCUGAGCGGUAGAAACUGCCUUUGUCUGCACCAUAUCGCCAGCCAUAGAAGAUGGUUGAGCAGCUACAUACUGCUAGGCCAAAAUCUCAUUAGAAACCCCCACCACUUUGUAACGAGUUGAAGGUUUGAUGAGUUUGGUGCUGCCAGUCAUAAUAUAGGUCAUAGAGUUUGUUCUUGAAUUGUCAUCUUCAUCGUCUUGAAUUGCUCUCAGUUUGGAAAAAUUCUCACUCUCUUCAAGUUGUGGAAACACUCCGAAGUAAGAUCUUUGAAGAAGAUGGAAGCAAAAGGAACCUUGUCCACGUGUCUUCUUCGUGUCCCCCCAAACAAAGCAUCACUCCAGCUUACACAGCCAAUCUUGGGGCUUGAGAUGAUCAUUCUCUCCAUCAUAUUCUGGAAUGUUCAGCUUCUCACAAUCUUACCAGUGGGAACCUGAUGUCUGUCCCAAUGCUUCCAACCCUCGUAGGCCACUGAAACAUCAGCACCUCCUUGGUCUCAGAAUCUGGUGCUGGAGUUUUCAUCUUAUCCAACAGAUCAGCCAGAUCUGGGCUCGAAUCUUGGAACCAAUCUUCAUCACUGAAACAAUGGAUGACCUUUUGGAUCACCGGGUCAUUUCAUCCUUUAGCUCGAGCUUCUAACCACUCCAAGCAAUCUGCCAAAGAUUGCUGCUGGUCAUGGAUCUCCUCAAUCUUGGACGACUGAGAGGCCCAAGAAUGCUCCAAAAGAGAUAAAGAAAGUUGGAUCUGUUAUAGCCUCUCUUGAUCUUGCUGAUGGUUUUUCACAUACCUCUGAAGGAUUGCAACACCUCCUUCAGUUCCCCUACCGGAUCUGGAAUCACUUGCAAAGGUGAAGAUGGUGACUCUAUUGCAUCUAGAGCACUCGCCUCUCUGUCCUCACUUGGUGAGGACUUCAGCUCAACCUUCUUCCCUUUCAGCCAAGGCAUCUUCUAGUGUCAUCACUUAGAUCUCAGCCACCCAAAUCCCUAAUUGCAAC